UCGGUGUCUCCGGAGCCCCCCCACACACACCGCGCCGACACCGCCGGCCCCGGCCCUCACAGACCGCUGGGCUCGUCCUUUCCAUCCUCAGUCCCUUGCCUCAACGAGUGUAAAAACUGUUGGUCGUGAUGUUGAAAGCUGCAGGCUUUCGCUCCAAGCCCGGACGGCGAACACCCCAAGGAAGACGAGAGACCGGCUUGUUGCAAAAGCAAGAGGUGCUGGGUUAGUGAGAAAACACUGGGCUGGAGAAGAGCAGGAAAGAACAGGCAGCUGGGUCAUUGAAACACCAUCACUCAGUUUUGCUACUACCCAGACGACAGCCAAAGUAUGUGCUGUAGAAGAUACCACAUCUGAUGUUUUCCUUUAGGUGACAAUAAAAGGGGAAAAGAUCUUGCUGUAUCUGGUUCUGUUCUUGAAAAGACAUGACAAAGCUCCAACACAGAUGACAGUGAAACUACCACAUCUGUAAGUGUUAGAUUUUCUGUUCAAAUGUCAGAAUGAAUUAAGUGAAGCAUCUGUAAGGCAGAUUAGGAAUACUGUAGUCAGCUAUCACGUCCUUUUCUGUAACAAAUCUGGGACUAACUCUUGAUCUAGUUAAAAGAGAACGUUGUCCUUCAAGUUUGUGGU